GACGAACGCUGGAGGCGUGCUUAACACAUGCAAGUCGAACGAUGAAAUGGAGCUUGCUCCAUGGAUUAGUGGCGAACGGUUAGUAACACGUGAAUAACCUGCCCUUAAUUUUGGAAUAACCCAGGGAAACCUGGGCUAAUACCGGAUAAGUAAACCUGUGGCAACACAUGGUUUUGGAAAGUUUUUCGAUUAAGGAGGGGUUCGCGGCCUAUCAGCUUGUUGGUGAGGUAAUGGCUCACCAAGGCGACGACGGGUAGCCGGCCUGGGAGGGUGAACGGCCACGCGGGGACUGAGACACGGCCCAGACUACUACGGGAGGCAGCAGGGGGGAAGAUUGCGCAAUGGACGAAGGUCUGACGCAGCGACGCCUCGUGAGGGACGAAGGUCUUCGGAUUGUAAACCUCUUUCAGCAGGGACGAAGCGAAAGUGACGGUACCUGCAGAAGAAGCACCGGCUAACUAUGUGCCAGCAGCCGCCGUAA
rnacentral:rRNA from 1 species